ACAGCUCACAGUCACUGGAUCACAGCCGGAUGGCUCGCGACGCCGUCACGGAAAAUAACAGCUGGACACAGACAAACGAGUCCCGCCAAUUGUAUUUUUAAACUGGAGAGACAGCUGACAGGAUGUCGUCAUCUGUAACCGUCACUCGCCACAGUUCUCAAGCGAGAGCAAAGGCAGCGAGGGGUGGUGUGAUGUCAUUUGCAACAAGACGGCUGAUACUAAUAUGAGCCUAAAAUAAAGGACAAUAAUGGCAUCAGCCAUUCAAGUUAUGAUCCUGGCAGAUCUACUACUAUCUGAAAAGUAGUCUCUGCAGAUUGUUUCAAGAUACACAAGAUGGAGCGUGGAGAGACGGGACAUGGACCACAGUUUUCAGCACCCACACCCCA